rnacentral:tRNA from 1 species
GGGCCCGUAGCUCAGUUGGUUAGAGCAUCUCACUUUUAAUGAGAGGGUCGGUGGUUCGAGUCCACCCGGGCUCACCA